AUGAACGCUGGCGGCGUGCCUAAUACAUGCAAGUCGAGCGAACGGACGAGGAGCUUGCUCCUCUGACGUUAGCGGCGGACGGGUGAGUAACACGUGGAUAACCUACCUAUAAGACUGGGAUAACUUCGGGAAACCGGAGCUAAUACCGGAUAACAUGUUGAACCGCAUGGUUCAACAGUGAAAGACGGUCUUGCUGUCACUUAUAGAUGGAUCCGCGCCGCAUUAGCUAGUUGGUAAGGUAACGGCUUACCAAGGCAACGAUGCGUAGCCGACCUGAGAGGGUGAUCGGCCACACUGGAACUGAGACACGGUCCAGACUCCUACGGGAGGCAGCAGUAGGGAAUCUUCCGCAAUGGGCGAAAGCCUGACGGAGCAACGCCGCGUGAGUGAAGAAGGUCUUCGGAUCGUAAAACUCUGUUAUUAGGGAAGAACAAAUGUGUAAGUAACUAUGCACGUCUUGACGGUACCUAAUCAGAAAGCCACGGCUAACUACGU
rnacentral:rRNA from 1 species